rnacentral:lncRNA from 1 species
ACCUUAAAUUCUUAAUGCUCUCAUAUGCACCGCACCUUUCAUGCAUCACUUCAUUCUCUCCUUCACAUCUUUUCACCUUUUGCUUGCUUCUUGUAUAUUUUAACAUUAUGAUAGUACAAGGAGAAGAUAUCAUCACGCUCGCUGAUGGAUUCAUUCGAUCAUGUAAUUAAUAUUCUCAAAUCUUUAAAUGUUUUCACCAUUUUCUCGAAAAUGCUUUCGGAUUUUUUUCAAAAAUUGAAAGUUCAUUUUAAGUUUUGCGUACAUCUCACCCUCUCUGUGGAAUUUAUAUUAGCCUAUGUUUGAUUUUUAUUAUUGUGGUGUAAUAUUUGUGUUUUUAAAGUGUGUGCAGGGGGUGGAGAAAGAUAGGAACAUACAUGGAACACUCAUUUAAGCAAGAAAUUAUAAGUAGUUUCUGUCAAGAAGCAACUAGGGCAGAAGCAUGUUCUACGGCCUCUUCCCCGGACCUUAAACCGGGCGGGGAUAAGACUGUGGAGCUCCUACAUAUAUCAACCUACUCACCAUCUUAUACGAAGAAGAUCGAAUACCAUUUUAACAGAAUAUUACAGUAAUAAAUAUUAUGUCGGCAGUCAUACUUGAAUAAGAAUAUCAUGUAACAAAAUCUAGUGAGCAUUCUUUAAUUAGAUUAUAUCAGACAUUGUAAAUUUAGAAUGAUUAUUAAAUGAUUAAUUCUCCCGAAAUCUCAAGAUGCUGGGAGGAAAGAGUUGUUGUCAUCAUAUUAUAUUUUAACAUAAUGCAGAUCAAGGCAUGUAUUUAUGUUUUAUUUAAUUAUCUUGAUUUUUCAUGCGACAAAUAUUUUUGUUUGAUGAUAAAUAAUUAAAGUCUUUCAUGCGU